AGCACUAUAUUUAAACCUGUGGAUGGGAAUUUUCCCCAUUCUUGGUACGCUGUAGUGCAAAAGAAUUCCUGGCUCUAUCUCUUGCAAAGCUUACUUAUACUAUACUGCUGUGGCUAUAUGGAGUAAAGGACAUGA
rnacentral:snoRNA from 12 species